rnacentral:rRNA from 1 species
UACAGAGGGUGCGAGCGUUGUUCGGAAUUAUUGGGCGUAAAGCGCGUGUAGGCGGUCUGUUAUGUCGGGUGUGAAAGCCCUCAGCUUAACUGAGGAAGUGCGCCCGAAACUGGCAGACUUGAGUGCCGGAGAGGAUAGCGGAACACCCAGUGUAGAGGUGAAAAUUCGUAGAUAUCGGUAGAACACCAGUGGCGAAGGCGGACUAUCGUGGACGGACACGUGACGCUGAGACGACGAAAGCGUGGGGAGCAAACAGGG